UGGUGGAGUGAUUUGUCUGGUUAAUUCCGUUAACGAACGAAACCUCAGCCUACUAUUGUAGUUACCAGCGCAUCUUGUAUGUGCUUAACUUCUUAGAGGGACUGACAGUUUUUAGCUGUUGGAAGUUUGAGGCAAUAACA
rnacentral:rRNA from 1 species